CCUACGGGAGGCAGCAGUAGGGAAUCUUUCACAAUGGGCGAAAGCCUGAUGGAGCAACGCCGCGUGCAGGAUGAAGGCCUUCGGGUUGUAAACUGCUUUUAUAAGCGAGAAAUAUGAUGGUAACUUAUGAAUAAGGAUCGGCUAACUACGUGCCAGCAGCCGCGGUCAUACGUAGGAUCCGAGCAUUAUCCGGAGUGACUGGGUGUAAAGAGUGGCGUAGGUGGGAUAAUAAGUAGCUAGUGAAAUCUGGUGGCUCAACCAUUCAGACUAUUAGCUAAACUGUUAAGCUCGAGACCGUUAGGGGUAACUGGAAUUUCUAGUGUAGGAGUGAAAUGCGUAGAUAUUAGAAGGAACACCAAUAGCGUAGGCAGGUUACUGGGACGGUUCUGACACUAAGGCACGAAAGCGUAGGGAGCAAACGGGAUUAGAUACCCUGGUAGUC
rnacentral:rRNA from 1 species